UACGUAGGGGGCGAGCGUUGUCCGGAUUUAUUGGGCGUAAAGAGCGUGUAGGCGGCCAAACAGGUCCGUUGUGAAAACUGGAGGCUCAACCUCCAGACGUCGACGGAAACCGUGUGGCUAGAGUCCGGAAGAGGAGAGUGGAAUUCCUGGUGUAGCGGUGAAAUGCGCAGAUAUCAGGAAGAACACCAAUGGCGAAGGCAGCUCUCUGGGACGGUACUGACGCUGAGAAGCGAAAGCAUGGGGAGCGAACAGG
rnacentral:rRNA from 1 species